UACGUAGGUGGCAAGGCGUUGUCCGGAUUUAUUGGGUUUAAAGGGUGGCGUAGGCGGUCUUAUAAGUCAGUGCUGAAAUAGUCCCGGCUUAAACCGGGAGGGUGGCAUUGAUACUGCAAGACUUGAGUAGAGUUGAGGUGGCGGAAUUGACGGUGUAGCGGUGAAAUGCGCAGAUAUCAGGAGGAACACCAUGGCGAAGGCAGCUCGCUGGGACGGUACUGACGCUGAGACGCGAAAGCGUGGGGAGCAAACAGG
rnacentral:rRNA from 1 species